rnacentral:rRNA from 1 species
AGAAUCAACGCUGGCGGCGUGCCUAACACAUGCAAGUCGCACGAGAAAGUGGAGCAAUCCAUAAGUACAGUGGCGCACGGGUGAGUAACACGUGAAUUAUCUACCUCCGAGUGGGGAAUAACUGAGAGAAAUCUUAGCUAAUACCGCAUAACACUUACGAGUCAAAGCAGCAAUGCGCUUGGAGAGGAGUUCGCGGCCGAUUAGUUAGUUGGCGGGGGUAAUGGCCCACCAAGACGAUGAUCGGUA